UACGUAGGUGGCUAGCGUUGUCCGGAUUUACUGGGCGUAAAGAGCGCGCAGGCGGUCGUUCAAGUCGAGUGUGAAAGCCCCCGGCUCAACUGGGGAGGGUCACUCGAUACUGAUCGACUCGAAGGCAGGAGAGGGAAGUGGAAUUCCCGGUGUAGUGGUGAAAUGCGUAGAUAUCGGGAGGAACACCAGUGGCGAAGGCGACUUACUGGACACAUAUUGACGCUGAGGUGCGAAAGCGUGGGGAGCAAACAGG
rnacentral:rRNA from 1 species